rnacentral:rRNA from 1 species
UACGUAGGGUGCGAGCGUUAAUCGGAAUUACUGGGCGUAAAGCGUGCGCAGGCGGUUUCACAAGCUCGAUGUGAAAGCCCCGGGCUCAACCUGGGAAUGGCAGUGGAAACUAGGGGACUGGAAUCUGGCAGAGGGGGGUGGAAUGCCGCGUGUAGCAGUGAAAUGCGUAGAGAUGCGGCGGAACACCGAUGGCGAAGGCAGCCCCCUGGGCUGAGAUUGACGCUCAGGCACGAAAGCGUGGGGAGCAAACGGG